UUAGGUGGCUAUAGCGAGGGGGUUCCACCUCUUCCCAUUCCGAACAGAGAAGUUAAGCCCUUCUGCGCCGAUGGUACUAGACGCAAAUCUGGGAGAGUAGGACGCCGCCGUUU
rnacentral:rRNA from 1 species